GCCACACCCAGCCCUGGUGCAGCUGGGCGGGUGGCAGAGGCAGCACAGUAGCAUCAGUGAGAUCAACACCACCAGGCUUCUGCUGGCCCAGGCCACAGCACUGCGCUGAGCAGGCUUUGCUGGGUCUUAUACAAGGGUGAAGGAGAGGCUUGACAAACAGAGGCUGCUAUUUAUGAGUCCAGCGUUAGUUUCUCUUUGUGCCUAACUUCUCAAUGGGGGAAACUGUAGAAAGUCUUCCUGAUGGUUUGAACACUAGCAGUCUCCACUCACUACAAGCUGGAAAUCAUGAAACACACAGGCAGAUGAAGGCACAGGGAGAAAAUGAUAAUCUUCAAACCAAAUUAUCCAGCAGUGAGGGUGAGACAAAUGACCAGCCAAAGGCAAAACAGAAAAACCUCAGGCUGAAUCAAAAAUCUCAGUCUGACCUGGAAAAGCUGAGGCUGGAUAUGGAGCUUACCAUGCUGAAAUGCCAGUAUGAUGAGAAGCAAAGGAAAUGGCAACGUGAAGAGAAAACAUGCUUUCUCAGACUGCAGUCAUCACCAGCGCGUCUAAGUUUAUUUAAAAAGCAGUGAGGAAGAGUGGGGAGUUCCAGAUGUGUGCUCACUACUCAGAGGUUCCCAACGUAAUCCUGAAGCAUCUUCACGUCUCAAUAAAAUUUCAGUCAGUACAUUCA